rnacentral:rRNA from 1 species
UACGUAGGGGGCAAGCGUUGUCCGGAAUUAUUGGGCGUAAAGAGCGUGUAGGCGGCCAGAUAAGUCCGCUGUGAAAUCUCGAGGCUCAACUUCGAGCUGUCGGUGGAAACUAUCUGGCUAGAGUCCGGAAGAGGAGAAUGGAAUUCCUGGUGUAGCGGUGAAAUGCGCAGAUAUCAGGAAGAACACCCGUGGCGAAGGCGGUUCUCUGGGACGGUACUGACGCUGGAGACGCGAAAAGCGUGGGGAGCGAACAGG